CGGUUCUCUCUGAGGGACAGGGGGAUGCACUGCAGCUCUCUGGUGGCGAUAAAGAGAGAAGGAGGAUGCAGCGCGUGGAGCGUUGUAGAUGGUGCGACCUGGACUCGGGCUCUUCUGCUUGGUGAAGAUGACGGCGUGCUGGUAGAGGAAGACAUUCCUGACACCCGCCCGCUUCCUCCGAGGUCCCCCGCACACGAACCAUUUCAGAUGGAAUGGUGAGUACUUAAAGACAACUCAACUGAAAUUAAUCUCUGAUAUAAAGCUCACAUUUUGUUGCUAAAUCGAGGGGCUUUCUGUAUUUUUAAGAUUUCUGGACCACUUGUGUUUACAUCAACUUGAUUGUCAUAAAUAUUUAGAUGAGGCAGACUUCAGAUGGGCCUUUAUUUUAUUUAGUGAAAAUACAAUUUAAAAAAAGAGGUUUGAACCAUGUUUUGUGUAAAAUUUGCUCUGUAUGUAAAAAAAAACAAAAAAAAAAAACAGUCCUAAUAAAUUAUGUUAAUUUGAACCUCACAAGCUUUUCCGGCAGGGUUGCUUUAACAACGUUUUUGUGUAUGUGUGGUUUCGGGAACUGACGGUCUGACAGACAACACCCUCAUUUCCUCGCUGUCCAACCAUGACAUUUGCCGCACCCCCCUGACCGUCAUGCUAAGGCUGCUGGAGGGUUUAACGUCUUUUUGUUUUUACAAUAUAAGCUUCAUAAGGGUGUGGGUUUUUUCAAUAUGGCCAUUAAAAAAAAAAAAAAAAAAAAGCUUUAAUUAUCCUUUUACCAAAGCUUGUGAAUUUCUAAUAGCUAGACUUUGAAACAUAGAUAGUGGCAGUAAGGUCACUUGCUGUACCUUCCCAGCAGAU